GAAAAUAAGUUAGUAUGAAACUCAAUUCACACAUUUCCAAUGAAAAUAGUAAGCGAAAUCAAUCAUUGGCCUCCAAUAUACUUAAUCUGAAUGUUAAAAACAUCUUAUUAUGCAGUUUACUUUGGAUAGUCACAUGUCAUAUGCAGUCCUAUAAACGUUUAAGCAACUUUCUUUUGUUAGGUGAUACUUAAAUGCCAAUUUAGCACAAGAAGAAAAAAUUGUUAAACACACAAAGCAUGGGUGAUACUGCAGAAGAGACAACAUGAUGAUAAAUAUGCAUAGGAUGAAAGUACAAAACUUAAGUUCAGAUAAGGUCAACCUCUGUAGGAAUUAAAAGGCUCUAGAAAUUGUUGAGGUGCUGCACAUAUCAUUCAAGAAUAUGUGAAACAACACUCGCAACAUUCCUUUAAACGCAUUAGCAGCCAUAAAUAUACAUUGUCUUUUCUCUCUUCCUUCAAUCUCAGAAAUCAUUACAUUGGAUUAAUAAAAAAAUGCUGUUUCAUAACAUAUAUCAAUCACCAAUUAUCAACUACCAUCAUAUCAACAAAGAUCACAAGGUUGAUUAGUAAAGAAAUGUUGUUUAUAAUAUUUAUCAAUUACUAAUGACAAUAAUAUUAUGCCUAAUCUCCCACAAUGUGGUUCACAUAUUUCAAUUUUCUAGAACCACUAUCUCUAAGAAAGAACAAGAUGUUUUGAAAUCCUAAACCAAACCUCCAACAGCAUCAGCCAGCCUAAGUUUAAAACUGUACAACAUUUGCUAAGAUCUGCAUACCUAUUAUCUAUAAGAAAACAGCAUAAAACCAAAAGGGGUACACGGUUAUCCCUAAUACGUACAUUCUUUAGCCUCAUUAAGAUGAUAGAUACGCCUUUACAUAAAUGAAACAGGAACUAAUACAAUAUAAACAUACGUUAUACACUAACCUUUCUAAGCGUACAUCAUCAUUCCCACAUAUAUGGUUCCCAUUGAUGUUUUCAUCUUUUUGAGACUCUGAACCAACA
rnacentral:lncRNA from 1 species